UCCACCGCGAGGUGGAAUCUGAAGGAAGCCGGAUGUCAGAACGCCGAGUUCUGAUGGGCAAAGUUCUGGGCCGACGAACAGAAAUCUCAUACAAGGUCGAAUUGGGACGGACGACUCUGCGCAACAAGAGAAAGUCCAAUGCUACCCGAAUCCCAUACGGUAAAUGAGGCGGCUAGAUGGAAUGAAGGUUAUCGCU
rnacentral:ncRNA from 1 species